rnacentral:rRNA from 1 species
CAAUAGCGUAUAUUAAAGUUGUUGCGGUUAAAAAGCUCGUAGUUGGAUUUCUGCCGAGGACGACCGGUCCGCCCUCUGGGUGAGUAUCUGGCUUGGCCUGGGCAUCUUCUUGGAGAACGUAGCUGCACUUGACUGUGUGGUGCGGUAUCCAGGACUUUUACUUUGAGGAAAUUAGAGUGUUUCAGGCAGGCUAGGCCGGAAUACAUUAGCAUGGAAUAAUGGAAUAGGACUACGGUCUCUUUGUUGGUUUGAGGGACUGCAGUAAUGAUUAAUAGGGAUAGUUGGGGCAUUAGUAUUUAAUUGUCAGAGGUGAAAUUCUCAGAUUUGUUAAAGACUAACUUAUGCGAAAGCAUUUGCCAAGGAUGUUUUCAUUAAUCAAGAACGAAA